UCCUGCCCGAUGCAAAGUCUGUGAACUACGU
rnacentral:piRNA from 1 species